CAGCAACAGAACAUUUGAUUUUGGUGAAAUGGGUUUUCUGUUGGUUGAUAGCACUGCAAAUGGGGUUGGAGUGGGCAUGAAAAAGCGGAUUCAAGAAGCGAAAAGGAUUCAAUAUGGCUCAUGAGCUCAUUGGCCAGCAUCUUCAUACAAUCAGAUGCAUACAAUAUAUCUUGUCAUAGGAGAAUUCCAAAGUUGAUACCACAGAUGAAAGUACUGAAUACAUAGUUUUACCUUACAAAUCAGCUGUAAAUAC
rnacentral:misc_RNA from 1 species